GGAUGUAAGGGCAGUCUGGCUGACAGAUCUGUCACCCCAUUGAUCACCAGGGUUGAUAUGGCUGAUCUGGCUGGCUAGGCAGGUGACCCCUGCCUCCCUCACUGUUGCAUGUGUGUCCCUCCUGAAGCUGCAUGCUCAUUCAAAGAGGACAGCCAUUUCUGAUUAAGGGUGACCGGUCUUCUGUCAAGGGUGUACGAGUAGCUGCAUUCCCCUGCUAGAACCUCCAAACAAGCUCUCAGGAAUGAUAACUGUUAAUAUGUGUAAAUACUUGCCCUUCUCAGUUAAUGCAGCGUCCUU
rnacentral:snRNA from 1 species